UUAGGAAUCUUGCGCAAUGGGGGGAACCCUGACGCAGCGACGCCGCGUGAAUGAAGAAGUCCUUCGGGAUGUAAAGUUCUGUUCUAUGGGGAAGAAGGCAGUGACGGUACCCAUAGAGAAAGCCCCGGCUAACUACGUGCCAGCAGCCGCGGUAAUACGUAGGGGGCGAGCGUUAUCCGAAUUUACUGGGCGUAAAGCGCGUGUAGGCGGCUUUUUAAGUGAGGUGUGAAAUCCUGUGGCUCAACCACAGAACUGCACUUCAAACUGGGGAGCUUGAAAUUGGGAGAGGAAAGUGGAAUUCCUGGUGUAGCGGUGAAAUGCGUAGAUAUCAGGAGGAACACCCGUGGCGAAGGCGGCUUUCUGGCCCAACAUUGACGCUGAGACGCGAAAGCCAGGGGAGCGAACGGG
rnacentral:rRNA from 2 species